rnacentral:tRNA from 1 species
GGAGAGGUGGCCGAGUGGUCGAAGGCGCGCCCCUGCUAAGGGCGUAUACCGGGAACGGUAUCGAGGGUUCGAAUCCCUU